rfam:Bacillus pumilus SAFR-032, complete genome.
ACAAAAAAACCCCCGCGGCAUCACCCGCGGGGUCCUUCUAUUCUUAAUGAUUCAUUAAGGAGAAGGCAAAGGGAGAGGAGAAACCGGAGGAAGAACUUAUGGGGAAACGUAAGUCUUCUCCGCGG